UUCAGAAUAGAAAAUAAUUGACUUUUAGGGUCACUUAGGGAAGAUAUUUUGUUUUCCCAGGUUUCUGGGUGGGAUACUUCAGCCAAUCACAUUUAUUUAAGAAGAUCUGUCUCAGACAUUUGAACUUGACCCUAUUUCCUGCCAACAACACCUGGCAAGAGAGCUAGGUCACCCCAGACUCCUGAGGUUUUGUCUUGAAGCUUUCUCCUCCACUGUGUCCUGGAUACUCAUCUUGAGAAUCCACACACUGCUCAUUGCAGUAUGGAAGCCUGAGCUGUAAGUGAAAUAUUGGUGACUAAUAGCUGUUGACCUGCAUGUUCAGAAACAAUUCAUACACAAUGGAUUAAAUAAAUAGAUAUAUUAACAUGAUGGUGUGAUUAGA
rnacentral:lncRNA from 1 species